UCUGGUGAUGAUGUUCUUUAGGGGAACACCCGUUCCCAUUCCGAACACGACGGUUAAGCCUUUAGAAGCUGAUGGUACUGCACGGGAGACUGUGUGGGAGAGUAGGUGGUCGCCAGGU
rnacentral:rRNA from 1 species